AUAUAAAACAUGUAAAAAGGUGCCCGAAAGGGAGAAUAGGGAAUGAGGUAUAAGCCUCAGCGGUCCCACCACUGUAAACGGUAGAACUUUUAUAAUCCACUGGAUUACACCGGGAAGGAAAAAGUAUCGUUAGUCCGUAAGCCAGGAGACCUGCCUUUUUCAUUAUUGCAUC
rnacentral:ncRNA from 2 species